rnacentral:rRNA from 1 species
GACGAACGCUGGCGGCGUGCUUAACACAUGCAAGUCGAACGGAAAGGCCCUGCUUUUGUGGGGUGCUCGAGUGGCGAACGGGUGAGUAACACGUGAGUAACCUGCCCUUGACUUUGGGAUAACUUCAGGAAACUGGGGCUAAUACCGGAUAGGAGCUCCUGCUGCAUGGUGGGGGUUGGAAAGUUUCGGCGGUUGGGGAUGGACUCGCGGCUGAUCAGCUUGUUGGUGGGGUAGUGGCUUACCAAGGCUUUGACGGGUAGCCGGCCUGAGAGGGUGACCGGCCACAUUGCGCCUGAGAGACGGCCCAGACUCCUACAGGAGGCAGCAGUGGGGAAUAUUGCACAAUGGGCGCGAGCCUGAUGCAGAAUCUCCGCGUUCGGGAUGACGGCCUUCGGGUUGUAAACCGCUUUCGCCUGUGACGAAGCGUUAGUGACGGUACUGGAUAAAGAAGCACCGGCUAACUUCGUG